rnacentral:tRNA from 1 species
GCCGGGAUGGCGGAACUGGUAGACGCACUGGACUCAAAAUCCAGCGGUAGCGAUAUCGUGCCGGUUCGAUUCCGGCUCCCGGCACCA